rnacentral:rRNA from 1 species
UUUGAGUGAUACUCUUAGUCAGACUAAGCGUUUGCUUGAAAUGUAUUGGCAUGAGUGGUACUAGAUAGUGCUGAACUGUUUUCAAUGUAUUAGGUUUAUCCAACUCAUUGUAUCAGUAAAGUAUUUGUUUAUUACACAGGCUCGGCCUUACAACAACAAACAAAGUUUGACCUCAAAUCAGGUAGGACUACCCGCUGAACUUAAGCAUAUCAAUAAGCGGAGGAAAAGAAACCAACAGGGAUUGCCUUAGUAACGGCGAGUGAAGCGGCAAAAGCUCAAAUUUGAAAUCUAGCACUUUCAGUGUUCGAGUUGUAAUUUGAAGAAGGUAACUUUGGAAUUGGCUCUUGUCUAUGUUCCUUGGAACAGGACGUCACAGAGGGUGAGAAUCCCGUGCGAUGAGAUGUCCAAUUCUAUGUAAAGUGCUUUCGAAGAGUCGAGUUGUUUGGGAAUGCAGCUCUAAGUGGGUGGUAAAUUCCAUCUAAAGCUAAAUAUUGGCGAGAGACCGAUAGCGAACAAGUACAGUGAUGGAAAGAUGAAAAGAACUUUGAAAAGAGAGUGAAAAAGUACGUGAAAUUGUUGAAAGGGAAGGGCUUGAGAUCAGACUUGGUAUUUUGUGUUCCUUAUCCUUCUUGGAUUAGGUUCCUCACAGCUUACCGGGCCAGCAUCGGUUUGGAUGGCAGGAUAAUGACAUUGGAAUGUAGCUUUGCUUCGGUGAAGUGUUAUAGACUUUGUUGAUACUGCCUAUCUAGACCGAGGACUGCGUCUUUGACUAGG